rnacentral:rRNA from 1 species
CGCCCGCUGGCGGCGUUGCCUAACACAUGCAAGUCGAGCGAGAUUUUAAGAACUAGCUUGCUAGUUCUAAAAUGAAAGCGGCGGACGGGUGAGUAACGCGUGGGCAACCUGCCCUAUGGAAAGGGAUAGCCUCGGGAAACCGGGAUUAAUACCUUAUAAAGUGAACACUUCGCAUGGAGAGUUCAUCAAAGAUUUAUCGCCAUAGGAUGGGCCCGCGUCCCAUUAGCUAGUUGGUGAGAUAACAGCUCACCAAGGCGACGAUGGGUAGCCGACCUGAGAGGGUGAUCGGCCACAUUGGGACUGAGACACGGCCCAAACUCCUACGGGAGGCAGCAGUGGGGAAUAUUGCGCAAUGGGGGAAACCCUGACGCAGCAACGCCGCGUGAGUGAAGAAGGUUUUCGGAUCGUAAAACUCUGUCUUUGGGGAAGAAUAAUGACCGGUCCCCCAAGGAGGAAGCCCCCGGCUAACUACCGUGCCAGCAGCCCGC